GGAUGUUAUUGUGGCUACACUGGGAUUCGAAUCCUCGACCUUGCCUGUCCCAGUCAUUUACCUUAACCACUACACUACAGGCCGCCCAUCUUAUUAGGAAGCAAGCAAGAUCUUUUUUUAGUCGCUUUUUACUAAAAAGUACACUACUCUGGAACAGUCGUAUGGACAGAUCAGACGCGUAUUAACCUGCGCCUGUGAAAAGAGGCACUUGUAGAGAAAGAACGUGCUUUGAUUCAGAGCCCUGGCCUCUGAAACAUGCUGGAGGCACUGCAGUAUUGUGUAUCGCUGCCACUGGACCUGGCCCACUUGUCUUCAGUGACGAUGUGACUCCUGACGGCAGCCGCAGGAUGAAUUCUGCUCCAUCUGGAACUUUCCGCAGGACACUGACCCCAAACUUACUGCUCAAGCCACCAAGGAGUUUAGAGUCAGGGCCAAGAUGGUGGAAUGUUCUUGCCUGGCCAAGUCAAUCACCUGCCCUGAAUCCCAUUAAACAUGCACUACACCCGCUGAAGGCAAAAUGGCUCAGAAACAGUACCUGAAGAUGGCUGCAGUACAGGUGUGGUAUGGUACAGGUGUGGCAGAAGUACAGGUGUGGUAUGGUACAGGUGUGGCAGAAGUACAGGUGUGGUAUGGUACAGGUGUGGUAGAAGUACAGGUGUGGUAUGGUACAGGUGUGGCAGAGAAUCAUCUGGGAAGAUAGCCACCAUUUGGUGAUGUAUAUGGGUCUAUGACUUAAGACAGUCAUCAAAUGUGAAGGGUUUGAAACAAAUAACUAAAAUAUGACUGUUUCAUCAAUUACGUUUUUCCAAUUACGUUUGAGUAAGGGGCGUGCUAUGUAUAAAAAGGGAGGUAAUUCUUACAUGAAUUACCCGGUAUUCAUGUAAAUGAAAUUAAAGCUGACAGUCUGCUCUUUAACAUCAGAUUGAAUUAAAUGUAUUAUUGAACUGGAUGCAACAACAUCACACCCAUGCAACUGAACUUUAGUCACAUCGCAAGAGGAAGCAUCACAUAUCAAUACAUAUUCAUUUUCAUAAAUUGCAUAACCUGACAGGUGUAUAUUGUGUGAUUGCAAAACUUCAUACUGUACAGUUUAUGUAACAUUACAAUGUGAAUGUAACAUUUGAUCUGCCACCUUUAUAUUAAUUGUAAAACUGCAAUACAUUAGUGAUUAAAAUUGUUUAUUUCUGUGCCAACAAGGGGAAAUGCAGUUAGGUUUUACAAGAGUGUUUAUAAAUGUCUGUGUCAUGCUAAGGAGUGUACCAUGUUCGCAUUAAAUGCUAGUCUGCAAAUGGUGACCUACUGCAAACCAAGCUAACUACUGACAGUAAUACUGUACACAAAGUGUAAACAAGAAAAACAAAACAUUCAUGUAAAUAAAGAUUAUAGUUUGUUUUG